rnacentral:rRNA from 1 species
UACGGGGGGGGCAAGCGUUGUUCGGAAUUACUGGGCGUAAAGCGUUCGCAGGCGGCCAACUAAGUCAGACGUGAAAUCCCUCGGCUCAACCGGGGAACUGCGUCUGAGACUGGAAGGCUUGAAUCCGGGAGAGGGAUGUGGAAUUCCAGGUGUAGCGGUGAAAUGCGUAGAUAUCUGGAGGAACACCGGUGGCGAAGGCGGCAUCCUGGACCGGUAUUGACGCUGAGGCGCGAAAGCCAGGGGAGCAAACGGG